UGGUUUGACAUGAAACAUAUUUUCCAGUUCAUCUUCCUUCUUUUGCUGUAACUACUCCGAGGAGGUUGAAGGGAAGAGUUUGAGAUCUUCCUUGACAACAAGGCAAAAAUGUGUGCUAUACAAUGGAGAAGAGGUGGAAAACUUUUUUUUUCAAGUUAAUCCACUCGGGAUUCCAGAUGAAGAUUUUUUUCUCCGUGAGAGUGUUUGACUGGAAAGACAGACUGUGGAGACGUGUUUGAGACGACACACAGGCUGCAUCCGAAAUUCGUGUGUGUAACCUCUUCUCCAUCUGCCACACACAUCUCUACCUAGCACAGGCUGCUCUUCAUCUGCGUCUGAUGAUGACAACCAUGCGCCAUCAAGCCGAGGAUCAACCUCAGGCCAUGUUGUGUCAUCGGCGGCUGACUUGUCUUGACUGGUCAUUACAAACCAAGUUCAUUCUAUACAGCAAGAGGAGAAAGCAAAUUGUCAUGAUAACA